AUGGUCAUGGAGUCCGAGCCACACCCUGGUAAUGGUCAUGAACCACAAAAUACAGCAAGUCAACAACAACAACAUCAGUAUGAUGAACAAACACCGAGUAGUGCUGAUGAAGCAGAGUUUCUAUGGAACCUGAGGAAGUACUUGAUCCUGCUGGCAACUUUAUCGGCUACUAUCACCUACCAGGCGGGGCUGGCACAACCGGGUGGUCUCUGGCCAGAUAACCAGCAAGGUUACCUUGCCGGUUACGCUGUCAUGUUUCUUAGCCGCACCAAGCGGUACAGGAUGUUCUUCUACUGCAUUCCUUACAUCACUCAUUGUUCUGAUCCUGCUCCUGGUCAGGGAGCUGAGACGGAAUGCAAUUUGGCUCCGUUCGCUGCAGUUUGCGCUGCUGCUUGA
rnacentral:rRNA from 1 species